GACGAACGCUGGCGGCGUGCUUAACACAUGCAAGUGGAGCGACGAACCAGGCUUCGGCCUGGGGCAGAGCCGCGAACGGGUGAGUAACACGUGGGUAACCUGCCUCGAUGACCGGGACAACCCGGGGAAACCCGGGCUAAUACCGGAUGUGCUCCUUCACAUCAGUGAAGACAGGAAAGGAAGCUUCGGCCUCCGCAUCGAGAUGGGCCCGCGGCCCAUUAGCUUGUUGGUGAGGUAACGGCUCACCAAGGCUGCGAUGGGUAGCUGGUCUGAGAGGACGAUCAGCCACACUGGGACUGAGACACGGCCCAGACUCCUACGGGAGGCAGCAGUGGGGAAUCUUGCGCAAUGCGCGAAAGCGUGACGCAGCAACGCCGCGUGGGGGAAGACGGCCUCGGUGUAACCCUUC
rnacentral:rRNA from 1 species